UACGUAGGCAGCGAGCGUUGUUCGGAGUUACUGGGCGUAAAGGGUGUGUAGGCGGUUCUUUAAGUUUGGUGUGAAAUCUCCCGGCUCAACCGGGAGGGUGCGCCGAAUACUGAGGGACUAGAGUGCGGGAGAGGCAAGUGGAAUUCCCGGUGUAGCGGUGAAAUGCGCAGAUAUCGGGAGGAACACCAAUUGCGAAGGCAGCUUGCUGGGACGGUACUGACGCUGAGGCGCGAAAGCGUGGGGAGCAAACAGG
rnacentral:rRNA from 1 species